AGAGUUUGAUCCUGGCUCAGGACGAACGCUGGCGGCGUGCCUAACACAUGCAAGUCAACUUGAAGAUUUAAGCUUGCUUAAAUCGGAUGGUGGCGAACGGGUGAGUAACGCGUAGACAAUCUGCCUUUCAGUACGGGAUAAUUCUGUGAAAACGGGACUAAUACCGCAUGACAUCACGGUAUGGCAUCAUAUUGUGAUUAAAGACCUUGAGUCGCUGAAAGAGGAGUCUGCGUAACAUUAGUUAGUUGGUAAGGUAACGGCUUACCAAGACAUCGAUGUUUAGCUGGUCUGAGAGGAUGAUCAGCCACACUGGGACUGAGAUACGGCCCAGACUCCUACGGGAGGCAGCAGUGAGGAAUAUUGCGCAAUGGGGGUAACCCUGACGCAGCAACGCCGCGUGUGUGAAGAAGCAGUUCAUCUGUGUAAAGCACUGUUAAUUGGGAAGAAUGAACAGGUUAGCAGCCUGUUUUGACUGUACCAACAGAGGAAGCUCCGGCUAACUCCGUGCCAGCAGCCGCGGUAAUACGGGGGGAGCAAGCGUUGUCCGGAAUCAUUGGGCGUAAAGGGCAUGUAGGUGGGACCUUAAGUCAACUGUUAAAGAAUACGGCUUAACCGUAUUUUGCAGCUGAUACUGGGGUUCUUGAGUGUGAGAGGGGACAGAGGAAUAUCAGGUGUAGCGGUGGAAUGCGUAGAUAUCUGAUAGAACACCGGAGGCGAAGGCGUCUGUCUGGCUCAUAACUGACACUGAAAUGCGAAAGCAUGGGUAGCGAACAGGAUUAGAUACCCUGGUAGUCCAUGCCGUAAACGAUGGGUACUAGGUGUUCGGGGACUAACCCCCUGAGUGCCGAAGCUAACGCGAUAAGUACCCCGCCUGGGAAGUACGAUCGCAAGGUUGAAACUCAAAGGAAUUGACGGGGGCCCGCACAAGCGGUGGAGCAUGUGUGUUUAAUUCGAUGCAACGCGAAGAACCUUACCUGGGCUUGAACUGUAAUGGACCGCUUCAGAGAUGAAGUUUUCCCAGCAAUGGGACUAUUAUAGAGGUGCUGCAUGGCUGUCGUCAGCUCGUGUCGUGAGAUGUUGGGUUAAGUCCCGCAACGAGCGCAACCCUUAUCGUUAGUUGCCAGCGAGUAAUGUCGGGGACUCUAACGAGACUGCCCGGGUCAACCGGGAGGAAGGUGGGGAUGACGUCAAGUCCUCAUGGCCCUUAUGUCCAGGGCUACACACGUGCUACAAUGGGCAGUACAGAGUGUUGCGAGACCGCGAGGUCAAGCUAAUCACUAAAACUGUUCUCAGUUCGGAUCGCAGUCUGCAACUCGACUGCGUGAAGUUGGAAUCGCUAGUAAUCGCGGAUCAGCAUGCCGCGGUGAAUACGUUCCCGGGCCUUGUACACACCGCCCGUCACACCAUGGAAGUUGAUAGUGCCCAAGGCAGCUGGUCUAACCCUUCGGGGAGGAAGGCUGUUAAGGCAAGAUUGAUAACUGGGGUGAAGUCGUAACAAGGUA
rnacentral:rRNA from 1 species